rnacentral:rRNA from 1 species
GAUGAACGCUGGCGGCGUGCCUAAUACAUGCAAGUCGAGCGAACAGACGAGGAGCUUGCUCCUCUGACGUUAGCGGCGGACGGGUGAGUAACACAUGGAUAACCUACCUAUAAGACUGGGAUAACUUCGGGAAACCGGAGCUAAUACCGGAUAAUAUAUUGAACCGCAUGGUUCAAUAGUGAAAGACGGUUUUGCUGUCACUUAUAGAUGGAUCCGCGCCGCAUUAGCUAGUUGGUAAGGUAACGGCUUACCAAGGCGACGAUGCGUAGCCGACCUGAGAGGGUGAUCAGCCACACUGGAACUGAGACACGGUCCAGACUCCUACGGGAGGCAGCAGUAGGGAAUCUUCCGCAAUGGGCGAAAGCCUGACGGAGCAACGCCGCGUGAGUGAUGAAGGUCUUCGGAUCGUAAAACUCUGUUAUUAGGGAAGAACAAAUGUGUAAGUAACUAUGCACGUCUUGACGGUACCUAAUCAGAAAGCCACGGCUAACUACGUG